GAUGAACGCUAGCUACAGGCUUAACACAUGCAAGUCGAGGGACCGGCGCACGGGUGAGUUACACGUAUCCCACCUGCCCUUUACUCGGGGAUAGCCUUUCGAAAGAAAGAUUAAUACCCGAUAUAAAGGAUGGGGAUGCGUUCCAUUAGGUUGUUGGUGAGGUAACGGCCCGCCAAGCCUUCGAUGGAUCGUGGUUCUGAGAGGAAGGUCCCCCACAUUGGAACGGAGACACGGGCCAAACUCCGACGGGUGGCAGCAGUGAGGAGUAUUGGUCAAUGGGCGUUAGCCUGAACCAGCCAAGUAGCGUGAAGGAGGAAGGCUUAUGGGUCUUAAACUUCUUUUAUAUAAGAAUAUGUAUUAGAUGAAUAAGGAUCGGCUAACUCCGUGCCAGCAGCCGCGGUAAUAC
rnacentral:rRNA from 1 species